GACGAACGCUGGCGGCGUGCCUAAUACAUGCAAGUAGAACGCACAGUUUAUACCGUAGCUUGCUACACCAUAGACUGUGAGUUGCGAACGGGUGAGUAACGCGUAGGUAACCUGCCUGGUAGCGGGGGAUAACUAUUGGAAACGAUAGCUAAUACCGCAUAAUAUUAAUUAUUGCAUGAUAAUUAAUUGAAAGGUGCAAUUGCACCACUACCAGGUGGACCUGCGUUGUAUUAGCUAGUAGGUGAGGUAACGGCUCACCUAGGCGACGAUACAUAGCCGACCUGAGAGGGUGAUCGGCCACACUGGGACUGAGACACGGCCCAGACUCCUACGGGAGGCAGCAGUAGGGAAUCUUCGGCAAUGGACGAAAGUCUGACCGAGCAACGCCGCGUGAGUGAAGAAGGUUUUCGGAUCGUAAAGCUCUGUAGUAAGAGAAGAACGGGUGUGAGAGUGGAAAGUUCACACUGUGACGGUAUCUUACCAGAAAGGGACGGCUAACUACGUG
rnacentral:rRNA from 1 species